CUCUGGCCAAAGACUCUCAGAGUCACCAUCCUAUGAGAUCACAUAGGAUGUUCUCUCCUCCUACAAGGAGUGACCGAUUCUUUAUUGACCACUCACACCUCCAUACGUACUUCACCCCAUAUCCAGAAUAUCCCACACACAUCUCAAAGUGGUGUGCUAGGAAAUAAACCAAAGUAAGGGUUUAUGUACACAAGGUACCACAAUAAUCUCAGGUCAAAAGAUCACAUACACCACUC
rnacentral:lncRNA from 1 species